GGCUCAGUGGUCUAGUGGUAGGAUUCACGCUUCGGGUAAAGCCAAUCCCAGAAAAUGGGAGAAGUUGUGUGAGGUCCCGGGUUCAAUCCCCGGCUGAGCCC